CUGUAGUACAAUGGAUAGUGCGUUGGACUUCUAAUCCAAAGGUCGUAGAAUCAAAUCCCACCUAAUAGC